UCCAUUGUCGUCCAGUGGUCAGGAUAUCUGGCUUUCACCUAGGAGACUCGAGUUCGAUCCUCGGCAAUGGAA